CGAAGCAUUUUCAUCAUAGAGGGAUUCUUCUGAGAAAACUCAAGAAGAAUGUAUUAUUAACAAAAGAGCAUAAAAAGGAAACAAACCAGUCUAUUCCUUCCCUAGUGAGGCGAGCUCGCCGAUUACAUGGUUGGAUGCCAUGGCAAUGC
rnacentral:lncRNA from 1 species